AGAUUGAACGCUGGCGGCAUGCCUAACACAUGCAAGUCGAACGGGAGUAGCAAUACUCUAGUGGCGGACGGGUGAGGAAUACGUAGGAAUUUGCCCUUAAGUGGGGGAUAACCCGGGGAAGCCCGGAUUAAUACCGCAUGACCUCGAAAGGGCAAAGUGGGGGAUCGCAAGACCUCACGCUUUUGGAGAAGCCUACGUCGGAUUAGCUAGUUGGUGAGGUAAUGGCUCACCAAGGCGACGAUCCGUAACUGGUCUGAGAGGAUGAUCAGUCACACCGGAACUGAGACACGGUCCGGACUCCUACGGGAGGCAGCAGUGGGGGAAUAGUUGGACAAUGGGCGCAAGCCUGAUCCAGCAAUGCCGCGUGUGUGAAGAAGGCCUUCGGGUUGUAAGCACUUUAAGGUUAGGAAGAAAAACUCGACUACCUAACACAGUAGAGUCUUGACGGUACCGACAGAAUAAGACACCGGACUAACGU
rnacentral:rRNA from 1 species